AUGAACGCUAGCGACAGGCUUAACACAUGCAAGUCGAGGGGCAGCACAGGUAGCAAUACCGGGUGGCGACCGGCGCACGGGUGAGUAACGCGUAUGCAACUUGCCUAUCAGAGGGGGAUAACCCGGCGAAAGUCGGACUAAUACCGCAUGAAGCAGGGGCCCCGCAUGGGGAUAUUUGCUAAAGAUUCAUCGCUGAUAGAUAGGCAUGCGUUCCAUUAGGCAGUUGGCGGGGUAACGGCCCACCAAACCGACGAUGGAUAGGGGUUCUGAGAGGAAGGUCCCCCACAUUGGUACUGAGACACGGACCAAACUCCUACGGGAGGCAGCAGUGAGGAAUAUUGGUCAAUGGCCGAGAGGCUGAACCAGCCAAGUCGCGUGAGGGAUGAAGGUUCUAUGGAUCGUAAACCUCUUUUAUAAGGGAAUAAAGUGCGGGACGUGUCCCGUUUUGUAUGUACCUUAUGAAUAAGGAUCGGCUAACUCCGUGCCAGCAGCCGCGGUAAUACGGAGGAUCCGAGCGUUAUCCGGAUUUAUUGGGUUUAAAGGGUGCGUAGGCGGCCUUUUAAGUCAGCGGUGAAAGUCUGUGGCUCAACCAUAGAAUUGCCGUUGAAACUGGGGGGCUUGAGUAUGUUUGAGGCAGGCGGAAUGCGUGGUGUAGCGGUGAAAUGCAUAGAUAUCACGCAGAACCCCGAUUGCGAAGGCAGCCUGCCAAGCCAUUACUGACGCUGAUGCACGAAAGCGUGGGGAUCAAACAGGAUUAGAUACCCUGGUAGUCCACGCAGUAAACGAUGAUCACUAGCUGUUUGCGAUACACUGUAAGCGGCACAGCGAAAGCGUUAAGUGAUCCACCUGGGGAGUACGCCGGCAACGGUGAAACUCAAAGGAAUUGACGGGGGCCCGCACAAGCGGAGGAACAUGUGGUUUAAUUCGAUGAUACGCGAGGAACCUUACCCGGGUUUGAACGCAUUCGGACCGAGGUGGAAACACCUUUUCUAGCAAUAGCCGUUUGCGAGGUGCUGCAUGGUUGUCGUCAGCUCGUGCCGUGAGGUGUCGGCUUAAGUGCCAUAACGAGCGCAACCCUUGCCACUAGUUACUAACAGGUAAAGCUGAGGACUCUGGUGGGACUGCCAGCGUAAGCUGCGAGGAAGGCGGGGAUGACGUCAAAUCAGCACGGCCCUUACAUCCGGGGCGACACACGUGUUACAAUGGCGUGGACAAAGGGAGGCCACCUGGCGACAGGGAGCGAAUCCCCAAACCACGUCUCAGUUCGGAUCGGAGUCUGCAACCCGACUCCGUGAAGCUGGAUUCGCUAGUAAUCGCGCAUCAGCCAUGGCGCGGUGAAUACGUUCCCGGGCCUUGUACACACCGCCCGUCAAGCCAUGGGAGCCGGGGGUACCUGAAGUCCGUAACCGAAAGGAUCGGCCUAGGGUAAAACUGGUGACUGGGGCU
rnacentral:rRNA from 1 species